CGUAACAAAUGCAAAGCCACAUGUGGGUUGCAAUUUCCGGGUCACGCCACCUUCUUUCACAAGUCAUAAUUCUGGAACUAAUUAGCAGGGGAAACUAAUACUUUAUACAUGGGUGUUCCACACGUGUUAGAAUUAGUGUACUGAAUUUCAGUCAAAUCAGAGACUAUGAGCUGGCGCCCCUGGUUGAACUGACAUGGAAUGAUCCCUGUGCAGGUUUGUGAGCUGCAUUUCCGUGCACACAGUAUAGAAAGUACUACAUCAGCAUAUUAUGCUAAGACUGGAAGAUUAAUUACAGCGCCUCUUGACCGCCCACGUCUAAGGAAAGUUAAGUUGUUUGUUUACGGACUUCGAGUUAGGUUAUAUAAUUAUUGGAUGAAUCUCUUACGCUUUUGGUUUAAAUGGUAAGGUACUGAGAAUUAAUUUUUUUUUAUAUAGUUGCAAUACCAGCACUAUUGCCAGGAUGUCCUGAAUAUUUAUCUACACCGUCAGCAUCAAGAGAACAUCCUGAAGAUAGAAGACAGUGUUUGGAAAAUGCUUUCAUCAGAUCUAUGCUGAAAGUGUAAUUAGUGACAUCGUGGUCACCAUAUUGUCUGUGCUUCAAAUAGUGUGCACUAUGUUGAUGGCAUUACAGGUCAAAACAGAAACAAGGUGCAAAUCCAGUACGACAACAGAAUGACUACAGGAUUGCACAACCAAACGUUCUCUGCCACCAGACUAUUUUUUCUGGGAUGUUUACUAACCAUCUGUGCCAAAUUAAUGUGUCUGCAUGUUGAAGAAAGUUUACAAGAAAAAACUCCAUCUGAACAGCCCUUGAAGGACCAACGGUACUGACUGGCUGCCGUGUCAUCCUCAGCCUUAGUCAUCACCGGGUGUGGAUACAGAGGGGCGUGUGGUCAGCACACAACUCUCCCAGCCGCUGUCAGCUUUCGUGACCAGUGUUGCUACUGCUCAGUUAAGCAGCUCUCAAUAGGCCUCACAAGAACUGAGUGCACCUCGCUUGCCAACAGCACUGCGCAGACCCCGAUGGUGACCCAUCCGAGUGCUAGCCGAUCCCAACGGCAUUAAGUAUCGGCGAUCUGACGGGAACUGAUGUUACCACUGUGGCAAGACCAUUGGCCAAGAAAAAUAUUGGUUUCCUUUUUUAUUGUGUUGCGACCACAGGAAACUAAGGUGCAAUUGACUUGCGCAUGUUCCUUGGUGUAAUACGUAACUCACAGACUUCAGCAUGUUUACGCAAAAAACACUAAAUACAAAAUAAUUUUUAAUCAUUAUGGGCUCCAAAUAUUUAGGUAUUCUGUGUAAUAUUUUCUCCCCUAGCAGAUUUGUAUGUUUGCGAUAUUAUUUAUUUCAGUGUUACAAGAUCAGUGAUUAAAAAAUGGCUACUUAGAAAUGGCUUUCACACAAAUAAAGAGUAUUAGAUACGUAUUUCAACACAGGAGGCAAGCUUACAGGAUACUCCCUCAAGGUAAAAUUCACAUCUGUUGGCAAUAGUUUGUCAGUGGUGUUACUAAUGGAAUAUACCUUAUGUCCUUGUUCCCUGCAAACCAAGUUGAACCUGGAAUAUUAGACAAUGAAUGCCGGUGUAAUAAAAUCUAAAUCAGUACUGUAAUGUUUAAUACAGUUACAAUUCCACAUUUUGCUUGUCUUUACUCUCAGUGCAUUUCCUUUGCCACAACUGAAUAAUAAAUCUAUAAAAAUGUAAUUGCAAAAAUCACAGUACAGCGUGUAAAUAUACUAUCAAUACUGUACAGAUUACAGUGAGUACUGAUAUUAGCUAACAAGAAUAGACACUAUGUUAACCAUUUUUGAUUAUCAUGUUGAUGACUAAUGUAGAAUAGAAGCAAAUUCUUCCGAGAAUGGGACAUUAAUACAAUGAAAAAUCUUUAUAUACACGUCAAAAU